GAUGAACGCUGGCGGUAUGCUUAACACAUGCAAGUCGAACGGAGUGCUUCGGCACUUAGUGGCGGACGGGUGAGUAACGCGUGAGAAUCUGGCUUCGGGUUCGGGACAACAGUGGGAAACUGCUGCUAAUACCGGAUGUGCCUAAGGGUAAAAGAUUAAUUGCCCGAAGAUGAGCUCGCGUCCGAUUAGCUAGUUGGUGUGGUAAGAGCGCACCAAGGCGUCGAUCGGUAGCUGGUCUGAGAGGACGAUCAGCCACACUGGGACUGAGACACGGCCCAGACUCCUACGGGAGGCAGCAGUGGGGAAUUUUCCGCAAUGGGCGAAAGCCUGACGGAGCAAUACCGCGUGAGGGAGGAAGGCUCUUGGGUUGUAAACCUCUUUUCUCAGGGAAGAAAAAAAUGACGGUACCUGAGGAAUCAGCAUCGGCUAACUCCGUGCCAGCAGCCGCCGUAAAAC
rnacentral:rRNA from 1 species